UACGGAGGAUGCGAGCGUUAUCCGGAUUUAUUGGGUUUAAAGGGUGCGUAGGCGGGAUGCCAAGUCAGCGGUAAAAAUGCGGUGCUCAACUCCGUCGAGCCGUUGAAACUGGCGUUCUUGAGUGGGCGAGAAGUAUGCGGAAUGCGUGGUGUAGCGGUGAAAUGCAUAGAUAUCACGCAGAACUCCGAUUGCGAAGGCAGCAUACCGGCGCCCUACUGACGCUGAGGCACGAAAGCGUGGGUAUCGAACAGG
rnacentral:rRNA from 1 species